AAGUCGUAACAAGGUUUCCGUAGGUGAACCUGCGGAAGGAUCAUUCAAUGAAUUUGCAAGUGGGCUUGAUGCUGGUGAAGCAAUUCACAUGUGCUCAGCUCCGUUCAAAUCCACCUUACACCUGUGCACUUUCAAAGCUCUGUAGUCCUCCGUAAUGGGAGCCGCGCUUUUGCGCUGGGGCUACACCUUUGCCCUUAUUAUAAACUCUUAUAACUGUCUUGUAGAAUGUCUAUUGAGUCUUAUGGACUUGAAACUUUAUACAACUUUCAACAACGGAUCUCUUGGCUCUC
rnacentral:misc_RNA from 1 species